UACAGAGGGUGCAAGCGUUAAUCGGAUUUACUGGGCGUAAAGCGUGCGUAGGCGGUUCGCUAAGUCGGUUGUGAAAUCCCUGGGCUUAACCUGGGAACUGCAGUCGAUACUGGCGGACUAGAGUACGGUAGAGGGUGGCGGAACUCCGGGUGUAGCGGUGAAAUGCGUAGAUAUCCGGAAGAACACCGAUGGCGAAGGCAACCACCUGGGCCUGUACUGACGCUGAGACGACGAAGCGUGGGGAGCAAACAGG
rnacentral:rRNA from 1 species